UUAUCAAUAACAUUAUUAUCAUAAUAUCAAUGACGUUUUGAAAAUAAUAAUGAUAUCAGUCAAGUUAAUCUUUAAUUGGGCUCUUUAAUCUUUAAGAGAGAGAGAGAGAGAGAGAGAGAGAUAGUUUGUAACUAUUGUGGCUCUUAAGACAAAAUGUAAAACUGGUGCAAAACCAUCAUCUUAAAGUGUCAACCAGAUACUGGUGCUGAACUAUUUACAAUAUUAUCAUAAUAUCAGUUAUUAUGGUUCUUAAAGGAGCCGUUCACUUUAAAAUAAGCCCCCAUUGACUUUCCAUAGUAGGAAUAAAAAUGACUUUAGAAAGUCAAUGGGGCUUAUUUUGAAGCGAACUGCUCAUUGCUGUUGCAUAUACGGGUAUAUUGUGGCAUCCCUAAGCUAUCUUUUAGUAAUAUACUGUAUUCGUUUUGCUUUCUUUUAAAUCACACAAUAGUGGACAUUUUAUAUUUUCAGUUUUAUGGGUGAAAUCUCUGGCAUCUCAACCCGCCUGACUCUCAAAGUUAAGCAAUGACCCACGAAAGCAACAUUAGCCUUCAGUCAUAAAUAUGUAGUCUUGACUCCCUUUUGACCCUGCACCUGUCAGACCUACAUCUUCCUCAUUCUUUAUCACCAUCUCUCUCUCUCUCAUCCCCCGCUUUAGCCCAUCUGUAGGACCCACAUCACAUCUUUAGAAUAUGGUCAAACAGUGUAUACUCUACAGGCUGUAAUAGGCAUAAUAGGGUCAAGACUCUGCAUUUAAUAAACAAUUACCUAUUAAUAAUAUAUAAGUCUAUCUCCAAAGGGCGUGGCGACGGCCCGCUGCAGGCCAGGAGAUGAAUAAUGCACACCAUCGUGGUCAAACGGGUGCCGACCCGCACAGCGCCAAUUAUCUCAGCAUGGUAACAAGCCCGCUAAACCUGAAACCCACACACAGCCUUACACACGUUGACAAGCGCACACGUUUUAAUACCACAGAGAGUGUUGGUGCCAGUUUGUCUAUUCUCAGGAAAACACACAGGUGGCUUAAUAUCUCAUCCCUGCGUGUGUUAUUUUCUUGAUUUCCCCGCAGCUCUUACGAUGGAGAGGGGGUCUGUUUCAGCGGCCCGUGGCUCUGGACCGGUGGCUCUCAUUCUGAAUUACAAAUCAGUCGCCGGGGCCCCGUUUCCGCUCAACCAAGUGGUCGUCUCAACAUCCUGGCCUGAUCCGAGUGAUUUAAAACACAUACGGCCGUACCCCAUCUUUAUUGUGGAAUAAAGCGCAGCGCGGCCCUGAGAUACCUUCGCUCCCCUCCUGCAUCUGCGCCACAUCUGGAAGUGACAACACAGCAUGCGGCACACACACAUGAAGAAAAUCCAGUCAUAUACUGACAUCUGCUGGUGACACACAGGAGAGCCGAUCAGCAUCAUUUGUGAACAGUGGCCUACAGCAGGGGGUCGUCCUCAUCAGUGGCCAAUCAACAUGUCAAUCAAACCUUCAGUCACCCGGUGGGCGGUGCUUCGGCUGGGAUGUCAUCAGUGGCAUUACUGCACUGCGGGACUCAUCUGUGUGCUGCUGCUGAAGAAGUCGGUGAAGUGAGACAGAGGGUCGGAGAAGGUGGUGGAGCCGUCGUUCGGUUCUUCGACGUUCCCAACACCCAA